UCGAAAUAAGGGUAUGGAUACACAGCCAAGACACACGCCCAUGUGCUAGGCCAUGUGUCACACGCCCAUGUCUUUGCCUGUAUAAACAAAAUAAGGGCAUUUCCAAGCCAUAUUUCUCACCCAAUCUUGCCUUUCACCUACAUAAACACUUAAAUACAUUAUCAAGUCAAUACAAGACAUUCAAAACCAAUCAAGAUCAAGUCUUUUACAUGAUAUAAUAUCUUAUAUAACCAAGUGUACAAACUUACCAAAACAACCAUAUAUACAUAUAUGCAUAUUCUACCAAACUUAUACUAUCUCAAACCAAUCCUCAAUAUGCCUUUAUGAUUUCUAUCAUUUAUCCAUUUCAGACACACAUCAACGCAUUAAGGCCACUUUUUACAUAUCAAAAUAUACCAAUUACAAGCCAUACUAAUGGCUAAUUUCAACCAAACACAUACAUGUCAUUCUUAACCACUUUUAGCCUAUACAUGUCAUUAUAACCCUAAAUUUAAUUUACUAUUUAUACCAAAACGAGCUGAUGGAUAGUGUGAGGUAUCUCCAUCAAGCUUCCAACCCAAUGAGCUUUCGAAAUACUAUAAAAUAGAGGAAAUAAAACAGAGUAAACAUUUAAUGCUUAAUAAAUUCGUAUAACAGGAAAUAAACUUACCAUUCAUUUACAUUUAAGGUAAGCACACAAAAAUGCAUCCAAACAAUUCGGCUAAUAACCUAAACACAUAUAUCCUCAUCAAGAAUGUUAGUCACAAAACUCACAUGAAUAUCAAGAAACAUGUAUUAGCUCAUCAAUAUUUAAUUUCCGCAUACAAGUAUUUAUCAUUUCAAGUAUCCAUGAACAUGUACAUAUCAUAUCUUUGUAUUUCAAGUACUUCUUAUAGUAAUUCAUCUUCAAUUCAUAUCAUCUCAUAUCAGAACUUUACCCGUUGAAUUAUUUAAAAUAUCAAUGGAUACAAGGGUAGUGCACAUGAAGUGUACGAAUUGUAAUUCGCCAAUUCAUAUUCGGGAGUACUCCUUAAAGCACAUAAUCGGGAAGCCCUCUUUCGAGCCAUAUAACGGGAAGCUCGUGUGAGCCAUGUAACGGAAAGCUUAUCCAAGUUAUAUAACAGAAAGAUCAUAAGAGUCAUAAUCGGGAAGCUCAUGCGAGUCAAUAAUGGGUAGCUCCGAAGAGCCAUUAACGAGAAGCUCCAGAUAGCCAUAUAUCGGGAAGUUCAAGUGAGCCAUAUCGAGAAGCUCAAAAAAGCCAUUAAUCAGGAAGCUCACAAAGAACCUUUAAUCAAAAAUCUCAUAAAAAGCCAUAUAACGGAAAGCUCAUAAAAGCUGCGGUAUGCCCACAACCCAUGUAGGAUCACAACCGAUCAAGAUGCUCUAAAGAGCUAUUAACAAGAAGCUCACAAGAACCAUAUAACGGGAAACUCAAGAGGGCCAAUAACAGGACGUUAUUUCGAGCUAUGGUGUGUCCGCAACAUAUGCAGGACUACAACCAAUACGGAAAAUCUUAUAUCCAUCGAAUUUUAUUUAUCAAACGGGACUUGACAUUUAUCGAGUUUUGUCGGUUAUGCGAUUAAUUUCAUACAUAUAUAACAUUUAUACAAUUUAGAUAUACAACAUUUAAUUCAAACAUAUAAAUAUACACAAUUUAGUUACACGAACUUACCUUGACAAUUAUUCGUAUACACAAAAUCCUACUAAUCUGACACUUUUUUUCCUCGAUCUAUCUUCAUAUUUAAGUUAUCUGAAUUUAUACGAAUGAAUUUAACAUAAAUUUAAUACAACUCACAUUCAAUUCAAUCAAAUUCACAUCUUAGGCAAAAUUACUAUUUUGCCCUUAUAUUUUAAUUAAUUACAAUUUUAUCCUUAGGCUUGGAAAAUAAAAUUCAUGUAAUUUAAUUCUUAUUCCAAGCCUAACCGAUUUUUACAUGAAACAUUUGUUUCCCAUUAAAUUCAUAAUAUUAAAAAAUUUUUCGUAAAUUUGACAUCUUUACAAUUUUGUCCCUAAAUCACAAUUUCGUUAAAAUUCACUUUACAAAAGUUGUUUAUCUAUCAAUAACAUUUCAUUUUCUACCAUAAAUUUCAUAAUUCAUGCAUAUUCAUCCAUGGCAAAACCCUAGUAUUUUGAUAACUUUGCAAAUUAAUCCCCAAGAUAGAUAGAUUAAGUUAUUACGAUCUCAAAAAUAUAAAAAUUACUAAAAACAGGACAAGAUUACUUACCCAAUUAAACCAAAUAAGCUUGCUUGAGUUUUUUUCUCUUAGCUAGGGUUUUCAUAAAAAAAAUUUGGAAAAGAUGAUGAAAAAGAUGAUAUUUUCAUUAUUUACUUAUCAUCUUUUAUUAUUUUUACUUUCCAAUUUAGUCAUUUUCUUUUCUUAAAUUUCCAUGGAUGAAUCAUCAUACUUAUCUACUAACUUUUCUUAAUGGUCUAUUUUCCAUGUAAGGAAAUCUAAUUUUGAAUUUUAUAGUUAUUUAAUACUUAUAGCUACUAGAACUCAAAUUUUGCAUUUUAUGCAAUUUGUUCAUUUUAUCAAUUAAACAUGUAAUUGGUAAAAUUUUAUUAACAAAAUUUUUAUACGAAUUUCUUAUAAUAAUGCAGACCAUGUGAAAAUAUUAAAAUAAUUUUCCUUCUGAACUCAGAUUUGUAGUCUCGAAACCACUAUUCUGAUUUUACUAAAAACGAGAUAUUACAGAGGACAUAGGUAGUAGGUUGAAAGGAAGCAAGUUUGGAAAGAUGGAGCAAAAUGAUGGAAGAAGGGAAGGUGAGUAGAUGAAUCCAAAACUUGAGGGGGGAAGACAAGUGAAUCUAAUUCUAGGUUUUAAUUUAGAAGGAUGAACAAAAGGGGUGUUGGGGGAGAUGAUCAGUUUAUAGGAGAUCUAAAGGAAAGAUUGAGAACACAAUUAGAAAAAUAUAGUCUAUUAGCAGAGCUGAAGGGUAAGAAGAGACAAAGAGUGGGACAUCCAAAUUUAGAGGAUGAAAUAGAUACAAUUGAAUGCUCGAGGGGUCAAGGGUCAGUCAAUCAAACAAAAAGAUCGGCAACCGCUAUGAGGUCGACUGACCGACAGUAAUGAAAAUCUUAUGUUGAAAUGUCCAAAGAUUGGAGAAUCCUUGGGCUUGUAGGAGGUUUCAGCAUGUGUUGAAAGCCGGUCAUCCCCACAUGGUCUUUUUGAUAGAGAUCAAACUUGAUAGCAGAAGAAUGGAGUGUGUCAAGCAAAGAUAUGAUUACUACAAUGGGAUUGACGUAUCGAUAGAAUGUAUAAGAGGAGGAUUGAAUUUAAGAUGGGUGGAAGGAAGUAAAGUUAGUUAAAUAGUUUUUUUGAAAAAUCACAUUAAUGAGGAGGUGGAAGAUGAGUCCGUUGGUAGGCAAUGGAGUUUUAUAGGCUUUUAUGAGUUUCCUGACUUUAGAUUCAAGGAAACGACUUGAAAUUUAUUAAAAUCAUUAGGGCAGAAUUCGAGGCACCCAUAGAUAGUGGGUGGUGAUUUUAAUGAAAUUUUAUACUCUUUUGAGAAGAAGAGAGGUGUGGUAAGAGAUGGAGAACAAAUGAGAGAAAUCAAGGAAAUGUUGGAUCAAUGUUAAUUGGAGGAUGUAGGGUUUACUGGUCAUUGGUAUACUUGGGAGAGGGGUAAUUUUAAGAACAAUAAUAUAAUGAGAGGUCCGAUUGCUUUGUGGCUAAUAUGGAAUGGUGAGAGUUAUUUCCUAAGUACAGGGUCAAGUAUUUGGAACAUUCUUUUUCGGAUCAUUGCCCUUCGUUAUUGAAAAUAGAGCUUGAUAAUCAGAGACCCCAAAUACAAUAUUUUUUUUAUUUAAAUAGUGGUAGUUACUUGAGGAAUCAUGUGAAAAAGAGAUAGAAGAGUUAUAGGAGGGUAGUAAUUUGAGUGUUCCGAAGCGUCUUAAGAUGGUGGGGACGGGCUUAAUAAAAUGGACGAGUAAGUUGAGAAGGAAGAAAGUUGGAAAGAUAAAGGACCUAGAGGAAAGAAUGAAUGAGCUCAAGAAAGAGGAUCGAAUGGACACUAUUCUUGGUGAUCUUAUUGAAACAAAAUUAGAACUCAACAUGGAAAUUGACAAGAUGAAAUUAUAUUGGGAAUAAAAGGCAAAGAUGAAUUGGAGAAUGAGAACCGAAAUACAACUUUUUUUCAUAGGUUUACCUUAUAGAGAUGAAGAACAAAUAAUAUAAAGGAACUUAAAAGAGAGGAUAGCACGUUUGCAACCAAUACGGAGGAGAUGGUCGAAGUAGCGAAGGAGUAUUUCUCAAAUCUAUUCAUAUUAGAUGGAAGGGGAGAAGUGAUGCGAGGUCUUGAAGGAGUUGAGAAGAGCAUAACGGGAGAAAUGAAUAAGAUGUUAAUAGCAUAAUACACUAUUGAGGAAAUCAUAUCAGCAUUAAAAGAGAUGGCCCCACUUAAGGCAGUAGGGGCCGAUGGAUUCCUUGCUCUAUCUUUUCAAAAAUUUUGGCAUAUCAGUGGUAAAGAAGAGGAGUUUUGUCUUAACAUUCUCAACGAAGAUGAGUCUUUGAAAGAUAUUAACUCUAUGCUAAUUAUGUUAAUUCUGAAAACUUCUACACUAGGUAAUUUAAGAGAUUUUAGACCUAUUAGCCUUUGUUCUAUUUUAUACAAAAUUAUCUCAAAAGUGGUGGCUAAUCAAUUUCGAAAAGUGCUUGAUGUAUGUAUUGAUAAAGCAUAAAGUGCGUUUGUACCAAGAAGAAUGAUUAUUGAUAAUGUUUUCCUUGCUUAUGAGAUUUCGCAUAUGCUCAAGCAGAAGAGAGUAGGGAAUGCAGGUUUGUUUUCGCUUAAGCUCGAUAUGAGCAAGGUGGAAUGAGGAUUUAUACAAUAAAUUAUGGUAAAAAUAGGAUUUAAUGUAAGGUGGAUUAAUUUCAUAAUGAGAUGUAUUAAUUUCGUUUCUUAUUUGGUUUUUUUAAAUGGAGAAAUAGGGGAGAAGUUCAAAUUGAAUAGAGGCUAAGACAAGGUAACCCUCUUAGCCCCUAUUUAUUUUUAAUCUGUGGGGAGGGACUCUCAAUGUUAAUGAGAAUGGCUAGUAAGGGAAGAAAAAUAAUAGGAGUGAAGGUAAGUAAAAGGGUCCCGGAGAUGACCUAUCUACUUUUUAUGGAUGAUUGCAUUUUGUUCGAAGAGGUUACAAUGCGAGGGGUAAACGAGUUGAAAGGUGUUUUUGAGAACUACGAGUGCAAGUUGAGGCAAAAGGUUAAUUUGGACAAAUCUGCUUUAUUUUUUAGUUCCAAUAGUCCGAGACGAUAGAGAGAAUUAAUUUCAUGAGCCUUGCUGGUAAGAUGUUUGGAGGAACUAGAAAAGUAUCUGGGUUUGUCGAAUGUGGUAGAAAAAUAGAAGAGUUUUUAGGGUUUAAAGGACAAGAUGGCAGAACGUGUUAAUAAUGGGUGCGUUAAGGCACUGUCACAGUGUGGGAGAGAGGUAUUUAUUAAAAGUGUGUUAUAAGCAAUCCCAAUCUAUACUAUGUCGUGCUUUCUUUUACCAAAUUCUUUAUGCUGAGAAAUGGAAUAGAUUAUGUGUAAGUUUUGGUAGCAAAAACGGAAGGGGAAGCAAGGAAUGCAUUGAUGCAAUUAGAGUAAAUUAUGCGUGUUAAAGGAGGAUAGUGGGAUGGGCUUCCGAGUUUAAUGUGGCCCUUCUCGCAAAACAAGGCUGACGAUUAUUGGAGUAUCUCGAUUCGUUAUUAGCAAAGAAAUUUAAGGCUAAAUAUUAUCUUAAUACAGACUUUAUGCAAGUAGAGUUAAGAAACUGCCUUUCAUAUACCUGGCGAAGCAUUUGGGCAAUAGGGAAAGUCUUGCAAUAUAGUAUGGCCUAGAGAGUUGGUAAUGGUGAUAACAUCUCAAUUUGGCAAGAUGUCUGGGUUCUUGGAUUGGAAAACCAAAGAGUUCAAGAGUCAGUCAAUGAUCAUAGUGUAACAAAAGUGGUAAACUUGAUUGAUUUAAAUUUAAGACAGUGGAAAGAGAAAGUAAUUACCAGAAUUUUUAGUAACAAAGAGGAAGAGGCGAUCCUGUACAUUCCUUUGGCAAAACACCCACUGGAGGAUAGAAGGGUUUGGAGUGGAGAACUUACGAGGGAAUACACAGUAAUGAGUGGUUACAGAAACUUAUUGACGAAAAAUAAAAACCUAGAAAUGGCUAACAAUGAUGACCCAUGCAAAGAAUAUUACAGUAAUCUUUGACAUACAACAAACUGGAAAAUAUACAACUAUAUCCCUACAUUUAGAAACCUAUACAAUAGAAGAAUCAGUAACUCGGUGCUGUGUCCAAGAUGCAGGAAGGGAACAAAGACUUUGGAGCAUGCAUUUGUGGACUGUCAUGCAAUAAAAGAGUAUGGUCAAAACUUGAGUUCGGGAUGCUGGGAACAACAUCAAAUGAGACUUUAUAGGAAUGGAUAAAGGGGUCAACUUACUAAAAGUAGUGGCAAGCAGAAACAACUCUUAUUUGCUACCAUAUGGGUGAUUUGGAUAGGAUGAAAUAGAAUGUUGCAUGACAAAAUACAACAAUCAACCACAAAGAUAGUAUGCUUUAUAAGGAAAUAUAUAGAGGAAUGGUCAAUAGUAAAGAAUAACAUAUGAAGGAGGAUCACUAACAGUGAACACUGGAAACCACUAGACCAGAGUAUAACCAAAAUAAACUUUGGUGGGGCCUACAAUAAACAAAGGAAGCAGUCAGAAACAUGUAUAAUAUGUAAGAACUCAAAAAGUGAAAACUUGGGUGCCAAAAUGAUAGUUAAUGAGAGAGUAUUUACACCUUUCACGACAGAGGCAAUAGCCUGUCUACAGGAAGUUUAGGCGGGGUUAGAAAUGGGCGUCCGAUGGGUAGUCAUUGAAGGAGAUGCACUCAAUGUUAUUUGAUGAGUAAAGGCAUUAAAAGAGGAUCGAUCAGUACUAUGUUCGUACAUACAGGAUAUACAAAUAUUAAGCAGAGGAUUUGAAGAGUGUCAUUUUCAGAAAUAUCUAGAUUUGGUAACAAGGUUGUUCAUGAACUUGUAAGAUGAGAAAUUGAAAGUCUAAGGAUUACCAACUUGGGACAUCAACUACCGAGGAAGGCCAUGUUAACACUAGAGAAAGAUGUGAGGAGUCUGGCAGCAUCAAAAGGAGACAAGAGGAUUGACAGACAUGGGGAACAGUUGUGAAAAUGAAGCAAGAAGUUGAAGGAAAUUUUUG
rnacentral:lncRNA from 1 species